rnacentral:rRNA from 1 species
CCUACGGGUGGCCGCAGUGAGGAAUAUUGGUCACUGGACGAGAGUCUGAACCAGCCAAGUAGCGUGCAGGAUGACUGCCCUACGGGUUGUAAACUUCUUUUAUAUGGGAAUAAAAUGUUCCACGUGUGGGAUUUUGUAUGUACCAUAUGAAGAAGGAGCGGCUAACUCCGUGCCAGCAGCCGCGGUAAUAAGGAGGAUCCGAGCUUUAUCCGGAUUUAUUGGGUUUAAAGGGAGCGUAGGUGGUUUGUUAAGUCAGCUGUGCAAGUUCGCGGCUCAACCGUCAAAGUGCAGUUGAUACUGGCAGUCGUGAGUACAGUAGAGGUGGGCGGAAUUCGUGGUGUAGCGGUGAAAUGCUUAGAUAUCACGAAGAACUCCGAUUGCGAAGGCAGUUCACUGGACUGCAACUGACACUGAGGCUCGAAAGUGUGGGUAUCAAACAGGAUUAGAUACCCCAGUAGUC